UAAGAGAAGGACCCAUGAGCCCUCUUAGGAGGAACCCCUAGAGCACACAGCUUGGGUGAUGAGAGGGGAGUGCACUGCUACGAUGCACAGGACGCCUCCUACGGAGGACCACUUCUCCAAGGUCGAGAAACGUAACUAACCUACCACAUAGAUGGAAAUACAAACAGCAACUCAGACAAAAUGAGGUGGCACAGGAACAUGUUCCAGAUGAAGGAACAAGAUGAAACCCCAGAGAAAGAACUAAGUGAAGCGGAGACAGGCAAUCUACCUGAGAAAGAGUUCCCAGCAACAACUGUAAAGAUGAUCAAAGAACUCGAGAGGAGAAUGGAUGCACAGAGCGAGAAGUCAGAGGUUUUCAGCAGAGUUAGAAAAUAUAAAGAACAACCAAGGUGCUUUGCCUCUGUGCCUUGGUUUCCUUAUGAGCAAAAGGAAGGGUCUCGACAUUCUAUAACACUGUGACUCUAUUACUAAUAUGAAUGAAACUUCAGUAAAUAAAAAAAAUACAUCACUUAUAGAAUUCAAUACCUAAAUUGGAUAAUUUCCCACAGCCUUCUCCCCAAUACCUUCAACAGCUUCCAAAAUAAUCCAAGAUUCUGAAAGUCCUGCUAAUACCAGAAGAACUAAUAUCAAAAAAGCUUAUCUCUUUCCCUGGUGCCACAACACCUUCCUGCCAAACAAAGGAACCAUGGAGAAUAUAAUUUUAAUACAAGAAUCACAGUAAUGAUCAUAACAAUGAUUGCAGGCUUAUUAUGAUCUGGUUUUGUUCUGAAUGCAUUACAUCCAUUAAUUCAUUAAUCCUUUAGUGAGUGCAGUGACAGGAUUCCACCACUGUCUGAUUCAAGAGCUCCCCACACCAUAUAUAUUUUUAAAAUAUCUUUCUUGGAGUAUAAUUGCUUUACAAUGGUGUGUUAGUUUCUUCUGUACAACAAAGUGAAUCAGCCGUAUGUAUACAUAUAUCCCCAUAUCCCCUCCCUCUUGAGCCUCCCUCCCACCCUCCCUAUCCCACCCCUCUAGGUGGUCACAAAGCAUUGAGUUGAUCUCCCUGUGCUAUAGAGCAGCUUCCCACUAGCCAUCCAUUUUACAUUUGGUAGUGUGUAUAUGUCAAUGUUACUCUCUCACUUUGUCCCAGCUUCCCCUGCCCUCCCUGUGUCCUCAGUUCUGUUCUCUACAUCUGCGUCUUUAUUCCUGCCCUGCCACUAGGUUCAUCAGUACUGUUUUUUUAGAUUCCAUAUAUGUGUGUUAGCAUACGGUAUUUGUUUUUCUCUUUCUGACUUACUUCACUCUGUAGGACAGACUCUAAGUCCAUCCACCUCAUUACAGAUAACUCAGCUUCAUUCCUUUUUAUGGCUGAGUAAUAUUCCAUUGUAUAUAUGUGCCACAUCUCCUUUAUCCAUUCAUCUGUCGAUGGACACUUAGGUUGCUUCCAUGUCCUGGCUAUUGUAAACAGUGCUGCAAUGAACAUCCACACCGUAUUUGUAAAGGUGCAAUCUGGAGUUGCCAGCACACCCUGCCUCAUUAUACUCCUUGUCUGCCAUGCCCCAGUCACUAUCCCAACCUCUUGCUUCUCUUAGACCUAUUAGGAUGCUGAGUCUGGGGUAGAGUAAAAGGUGUAGGGAUGAGGGCUUUGACUAUCCCUUCUCUUGCUUAAAAAAUUCUUUGUCCUUCUUCCUAAUGGAGAACUAAAAGUUUUCCCUUGAAAAUGAAUUAUAGCACCAUCUUUAUAACAAAAGAAACACUUUGCACCAAUCAUACUGUCUACUAAUUCACAGGCACUGGAAAAAGAGUAUAUAUGGAAAAAACUGGUUCUUGGUAAGAACAUGUCUUAAUUUUCAGAGAGGUAAUUCUUGGCCAAAAGUAGAAAUGGGGGUACUUCUGUGUCCGUAAGUGACCCCACUGAACGCACAGCAAUCGUGCCAUAUGGAGAGUUUCAGUGUGGCUCCUUCUACAACAUUUAUCUCUUGGCAUAUCGUUUCUGGAAUGCAGCUUGUUCUUAAAGAAAGAAAACUAGUUUUGGAGUCUUCACAGCUAGGUUCUUCCCCCUGCUGGGACCAUUUGUCCACAACCUACUUGAGCUCUUGACUUCCUGUCCUAGGUCAGGAGGUAGCUAACAGCUCAAACCUGAUGUUCAGAGAACACACUGGCUCUGGGUAUGAGGUUUGCUUCUGGUUACCUCACUCCAGAGGCCAAAUGCCCAGUUCCGACGACUAGGUCUUACUUUAAUACCACGUUCUUUUGGAACUGUGGCUAUGUUCUAGUUUUGCUAGAGUGUCCUAUUCCUGAUUCUUGUGGCUGCUUUCCACUCAGGGGGUCUACUUUCCUGUGGCUUUUCCUUUAUUUCCCAUUAGCAAACUCCACCUGUUUACCCGCAGGAAUAUACAAACUCUUUCCUGGACCCUCCUGGACACUGUGCUGUUGGGAUGCUCUGUUUCACCACCUGCCUGGACUUCCCACACUGGAAGGGGAGACCAUCAAGUUAGAGGUCAAGGCUUACCCACCUGCUCCAUCUUACUGCCUUGCGCACUACAGGGGAUUAAAUGAGGAGCAAGGAGAAAAGAUAGGAAAACUUACCACUGAAAUUAACGUGGACUAGGAUCUGAGUCUAAGGAAGAGGCAAAAGUAGGAAGGAGAGAUUUUAUAGCUGCUACAACAAAGAAGGACAGUGAAAACCUUAAUUAAUUUUGCUAUUCUACAGUACAGACGAAAUUCUAAAUGCACAAGUUAUAAAAUGAAAAGGCUAAGGUACUGUAAUAGGUAAGGUAAGGUAACAUUCAGGCAGGAUAUUUUGGGGCACUAGACCUAAGCACAAAAAGAAAAUCUCUUAGGCUGGAAAUAAACGAAAUCACUUUGUAUUCAUAAUUCGUAGCUAAGAAAAUACAUCUGUGCUAUUCCAUCAUUCAACAAAACUUUAUAAAACACCUACAGUAUAUGAAGCCCUCUCUCAGGUUUUCUACUCAAAUAAAACAUAGAUCUGUAUAAAGAUAAUAUAGAAUAGUCCAAUCAGAGACAAAGUACAACUGGGGAGCGGCAGAGAAUGGCGUACAAACAGUAAGAUAUUAGAAAUCUUAAAAAUUCACUCUCUCUGCAUUUAUAAGGCACGUGUUGGUUUAUUCAGCGGCAGUUGCUUCCAGAACAGAAAAAAAAAAACCACAACAGGUUCAUUGUACUAUCCAUUGUGCUCAUUUUUUUCAAAGCCACGUUCUGGAUGGAUCCUUCAUGUACCACGUUAUAGAAACUAAAAUGCAUAUUUCUGCUGAAACGGAAAGUUCCUGAUUGGUAAGUUGGUGCUGGCUUGCCUCUGAGUUUAGUGAAUGUCACAUUCUAACUGUUUCAAGUUCUGACAGGCUCAGGCCUGGCUCAAUCUGGAGAACUAAGGAGAUUCAGUGCUGGGGAUCUAAGACUGCUGUAGCCAUAAACCAAGAUGCUUCCUACAGAGAGUUACAACUGGGAACAGAUGGUACCUGUCAUCCCACUGUACCAAACAUGACCUCACCGGCCCCUCUAACCUUCCUCAAUUUGAGCCAUAGCAUCUUUCCACGAAUUUGAGGCUUGUUGAUGGCCAGCACUUGACGCUCCUGGAAAGCCACUGUUAUCCUCAUCUGGAUGGUAAAUACCAAACUCUAGUGGGCAUGAGAAUCUACUGGAGGGCACAUCAAGCAUGCAACUCACCGCCCUAUCCCUUGGGUCUGCAUUGAGUCCCAUGAAUCUGCUUGUAUGUGAAUCAAGGAGCGAAAGCGAUUCUGCACAUUCGACAGAAGGUGUUCAUGGUCAACGUUUCCAGGAUCAAGGCUGCCGCUUGUCAGGUCGUCUCCAGCAGGUCCCUGUUCCUUGGCAGCAGUGUCUGCACUAAAAGAUUUAUUGACAGGGUGAUGUGGGCAGAUGCAGUCACAGUGGGAUCAACACUCUGAGAAUAGACUCCUCUCAGACCGUAAAAAAUUCUGAUCUUUUGUACAGCUUGAUCUCAGCCUAUGGAAAUCAAAAGCUUUGGCCCCCACUGGAUAUCUUUACUCUCAAAUUCUGGUUAUUAAAGGUGGUAAAAAUGUA